GCGUCGGUGGUUCAGUGGUAGAAUACUCGCCUGCCACGCGGGUGACCCGGGUUCGAUUCACGGCCGACGCA
rnacentral:tRNA from 1 species